GAUGAAGAACGUAGUGAAAUGCGAUAAGUAAUGUGAAUUGCAGAAUUCAGUGAAUCAUCGAAUCUUUGAACGCACAUUGCGCCCCCUGGUAUUCCGGGGGGCAUGCCUGUUCGAGCGUCAUUUCACCACUCAAGCCUCGCUUGGUAUUGGGCAACGCGGUCCGCCGCGUGCCUCAAAUCGACCGGCUGGGUCUUCUGUCCCCUAAGCGUUGUGGAAACUAUUCGCUAAAGGGUGCUCGGGAGGCUACGCCGUAAAACAAACCCAUUUCUAAGGUUGACCUCGGAUCAGGUAGGGAUACCCGCUGAACUUAAGCAUAUCAAUACGGAGGA
rnacentral:misc_RNA from 1 species